rnacentral:rRNA from 1 species
AUGGAGACGCUGCCGGACGACGUGGUCCUGGAAAUCCUGGUACGCAUGCCGGAUGCCCCACACCUCUUCCGCUGCGCGGCGACGUGCAAGCGAUGGUGGUUCCUCGUAGCACAACCCUCCUUCCUCCGCCGCCGCUGGCCAGACGACAGGUACCAUCCCUCCUCCCUCCUCGGCUUCUUCGCCGAGGAAUAUCGAUCACCUGAUCGACGGAGCUACAAAAUUAGGUAUGUGCCAUCCUUUAUUCCGGCGCCCUCGUCGCCCUUUCGGCCUCGCAGCCCCAUCGCGAGCUUCGCCGACGCCGGCGACUUACGGGAGCUGCCACUCGCCUCGCGCCGCGGCUUUCUUCUCGUGCAUCUCGUCGCGGGCCAUCACCUUCGGGACGCAUACAAAGAAUUCAACCUGGCCGUGUCCGACCCGCUCAGUGGCACGAGCCGCGUGCUACCCACGCUCAAGUGCGACAGGCUUUUCAGAAUCAAAGGUUGUGCUAUCCUAACCACUGCAGACCAUUGCUUCAAGGAACAACAGCAGCAGCAGCAGCCGGUGUUAUCAACCUGCUCGGCCUUCUCUAAAGUGUUAAUAAUUGGCUUCGACAACGACAACCAACAGUACAGCAUCUCUAUGUUCUCGUCCGAUGAGUCGAGCUGGAGCGCGCCUGAAAACUGCUUCGACCCUUUGGAGCACAGCAUUCAGCUGGCGCCUUUACAGUUCAACGCGGUUGUGUGCCAAGGAGCGGCACACUGGCUCUUCAGGGACAAUUCAAACUUCUACACGCUGGACGCGAGCGUCGAGACGGGCCAUGCCACCUUGACGAAGCUCUCGGUCACACCGGGCCGCCUCGGCCGCAACUUUAGGGACGUGCCACGGCUAAGCGUCACCAACGGAGUGCUAUCGCUGCUCGCCUUGCAUAAAAAAUGCCUCAGAGUGCAGAUCUGGACAUGUCGAGGUGGCACAAGGAGCGGAGAUUGCACCAGAGAGUGGCGCCACACUAAGAUGAUCAAGCUAGAACGACCGGAACAAAAUCAUACCAAGAUAUUAGUGCAUUACAUGUGGGCAGGGGAGAGGAGCGGUGUAUUGCUUAUCAAGGCAAGCCCCUACUUCAAACGGUCUGUAUAUGUUGCUAACCUUCAAACUGGGACAGUGGAGGAGGUCAUCAGCAAAUUUUGCGACGAGUGCACGACGCCUAUCCCGUUUGAGAUUGAUUGGCCGGCCUUCUUCAUGUCUCGCUUGGCAGGCGAUAGCAUCAAGCAGGCUAAAUUGGGAGAAACCAUACUCAACAUUGCCAACCUUCUUGGGGGCCAAUAG